rnacentral:rRNA from 1 species
CCCCUAGACGUUCUGGGCUGCACGCGCGCUACAAUAAUACGCACAGCGAGUACCACCGAGCUCGAAAGGGCAAGGUAAACAAUAGAAAAGGUACUGUAAUGGUUAUAGAUCCUUGUAAUUAUUGAUCUUCAACGAGGAAUUCCUAGUAAGUAUGUGUCAUCAUCACGCACUGAUUACGUCCCUGCCCUUUGUACACACCGCCCGUCGCUCCUACCGAUUGAGUGAUCCGGUGAGGCUCUGGGACCUGGACGGAAAGAGCGUUUCGCUUGUUCUGUUUGGGAAACUUGGUCGAACCUUAUCAUUUAGAGGAAGGAGAAGGCGUAACA